UCAGGGAUAGCCAUUGGAAACGAUGAUUAAUACCGGAUAGUCUCUUCGGAGUAAAGAUUUAUUGCUUGGGGAGGAGCCUGCGUUCUAUCAGCUUGUUGGUAGUGUAAUAGACUACCAAGGCUAUGACGGAUAACUGGUCUGAGAGGAUGAUCAGUCACAAUGGAACUGAGACACGGUCCAUACUCCUACGGGAGGCAGCAGUGAGGAAUCUUCCACAAUGGACGAAAGUCUGAUGGAGCGACACCGCGUGAAGGAUGAAGGUCUAACGAUUGUAAACUUCUUUUCUGAGGGAGCAUAAUGAGAGUACCUCAGGAAUAAGGGACGGCUAAUUACGUGCCAGCAGCCGCGGUAAUACGUAAGUCCCAAGCGUUACCCGGAAUUAUUGGGUGUAAAGGGUUCGUAGGCGGGUUAUUAAGUUGAAUAUGAAAGACCGAGGCUCAACCUCGCGUUUGUAUUCAAAACUGGUAACCUAGAAUUAGGGAGAGGUUAGCGGAAUUCUUAGUGUAGGGGUGCAAUCCGUAGAUACUAAGAAGAACACCAAAAGCGAAGGCAGCUAACUGGAACUAUAUUGACGCUCAUGAACAAAAGCGUGGGGAGCAAAGAGGAUUAGAUACCCUCGUAGUCCACGCCCUAAACGAUGAUAACUAAGUGUUGGGAAAUGUCCCAGUGCUGUAGCAAACGCGUUAAGUUAUCCACCUGAGGAGUACGGUCGCAAGAUUAAAACUCAAAGGAAUAGACGGGGACCCACACAAGCAGUGGAUCACGUGGUUUAAUUCGACAAUAAACGGGGAAUCUUACCCAGACUUGACAUCCUAGGAAUCUUUUGGAAACAAGAGAGUGCUCGUAAGAGAGCCUAGUGACAGGUGCUGCAUGGUUGUCGUCAGCUCGUGCCUUGAGGUGUUCGGUUAAGUCCGUUAACGAGCGCAACCCAUGUCUUUAGUUAUUAUGUCUAAAGAGACUGCCUUGGUUAACAAGGAGGAAGGUGUGGAUGACGUCAAAUCAGCAUGGCUUUUACGUCUGGGGCUACACACAUGAUACAAUGGUAUGUACAAAGAGCAGCAAUUCAGUGAUGUUGAGCUAAUCUUCAAAGCAUAUCUCAGUCCGGAUUGGAGUCUGAAACUCGACUCCAUGAAGUUGGAAUUGCUAGUAAUCGUGAAUCAGAUAUGUCACGGUGAAUGUGUUCCUGGGUCUUGU
rnacentral:rRNA from 1 species